GUCCCCGUAGUUAAGUGGAAUAACAAAACCCUCCUAAGGUUUAGUCACAAGUUCGAUCCUUGUCGGGGACACCA
rnacentral:tRNA from 1 species